GACGAACGCUGGCGGCGUGCUUAACACAUGCAAGUCGAACGAAGUGGCGAACGGGUGAGUAACGCGUAAUCAACCUGCCAUUCAGAGGGUGACAACAGUUGGAAACGACUGCUAAUACCGCAUACUGCAGGUGGGGAUUGCGUUGGAUUAGCUCGUUGGAGGGGUAACGGCCCACCAAGGCGAUGAUCAGUAGCCGGUCUGAGAGGAUUGACGGCCACAUUGGGACUGGGAACAGGCCCAGACUCCUAACGGAGGCAGGAGUGGGGAAUUAUCCGCAAAUGACGAAAAUCUGACGGAACAAAGCCGCGGGAGUGAUGACGGGCUUCGGGUUGUAAAACUCCGUUAAUCGGGAAGCGGUACCGGAAUAGAAAGCCACGGCUAACUACGUGCCAGCAGCCGCGGUAAUAC
rnacentral:rRNA from 1 species